ACAUGCAAGUCGAACGGGAAUUACUUUAUUGAAACUUCGGUCGAUUUAAUUUAAUUCUAGUGGCGGACGGGUGAGUAACGCGUGGGUAACCUGCCUUAUACAGGGGGAUAACAGUCAGAAAUGGCUGCUAAUACCGCAUAAGCGCACAGAGCUGCAUGGCUCAGUGUGAAAAACUCCGGUGGUAUAAGAUGGACCCGCGUUGGAUUAGCUGGUUGGUGGGGUAACGGCCCACCAAGGCGACGAUCCAUAGCCGGCCUGAGAGGGUGAACGGCCACAUUGGGACUGAGACACGGCCCAGACUCCUACGGGAGGCAGCAGUGGGGAAUAUUGCACAAUGGGGGAAACCCUGAUGCAGCGACGCCGCGUGAAGGAAGAAGUAUCUCGGUAUGUAAACUUCUAUCAGCAGGGAAGAUAGUGACGGUACCUGACUAAGAAGCCCCGGCUAACUACGUGCCAGCAGCCGCGGUAAUACGUAGGGGGCAAGCGUUAUCCGGAUUUACUGGGUGUAAAGGGAGCGUAGACGGUGUGGCAAGUCUGAUGUGAAAGGCAUGGGCUCAACCUGUGGACUGCAUUGGAAACUGUCAUACUUGAGUGCCGGAGGGGUAAGCGGAAUUCCUAGUGUAGCGGUGAAAUGCGUAGAUAUUAGGAGGAACACCAGUGGCGAAGGCGGCUUACUGGACGGUAAC
rnacentral:rRNA from 1 species